GACCUUCGGGUUAUAAGUCCAAAUUCCAACAAAACCUUUUUUUUUCUUCCAUUCCAGGAGAUGUUUCCCUGUAAACAGUGCCAGGACGUGCUUAAUAACUCAUGAAACUUCCUGCUAACUCACAGCAGAUGCAAGACCAGCUCAGAAGAAGCUGUAUGAGGUAAGUCAAAUCUUUCUAUUUAAUAUUACUAAGCUACUGUAUAUGCUCUUUCAGUUUAUCCUUACGUGUGUAAUGGAUUGUGCAGUUAAGUUGCUUAUCAUGUUUAUGAUUUUAUAAAACAAUACGAUAGAAGAUGAUAAAACAAUAGAAGCAAUAUGAUAGAAGAUAUCAGUGUUCAAAAAAUAUUUACCUUUAUACAUGAAUAAUAUUCAGAAUGAAAUCAUCUUCCACGUUAUAUAGGUGUAAUUAGGCUUUAAUAUGUAUUUCAGACAAUUUAUAUUGAAUUUCAAAUCUGGAAAUAUCUCAUUUUUAAUAAGUUAUUAUUAUUUCUGAUAUUCCAGAUUACCAUUUGCUUAGUGAGAAUAAAGCUCUUUCUGAUUACAGAAGGACUUCUACAUUGUGGUUUUAUCUCUGACUUCAUCAUGAGGUUUCUGGUUUCACAGCCUCUGCUGGUGUUCAUAUCAGUCCUGUCACUGAGUAAAUUUUGUUAUCGGUUUGAUUAUCGGUCUUAACGUGAAAAAGACUAAAAAACAUGUGACAAACAAAUGUGUGUUUUGGAAUUUAAUAAUCUCUCUUUCUCCUUGACAGCCAGAGCACAAUCAACAUCUGCACCAAUAACAUUAUCAACAGAAGGCAUUACAACAACACCUGAACCAAACACAACAACAUUACCAGAAACCACUACAGAAACUACAUCAGUCACACCAGAAACUACAACAACACCUGCACCAACAACAACAUUGACAGAAACUACAACAGCUGUAUCAUCACCACCACUACCAACAACAACAACAUUAGGUACUUGUAGACUUUUGAAUUAGAUCUAGAUCUGUUUUUUUUUUUUUUGUUUUUUUUAGUCCCCUCUGAGAAAUCAGUUAGAAUCUUUACCAGGAAAGAAAACCACACUCAUCAAGUGAGUUCAUGAGGUAUUCUGUGGUGUUUGUAUUUGUGUUCAUUCUUCCAGAAACCACUACAGAAACUACAUCAGUCACACCAGGUAAUAAAACUGCAAGUGAUUAAAAGAAAAUCA
ensembl:lncRNA